UACAGAGGUAUCAAGCGUUGUUCGGAUUCAUUGGGCGUAAAGGGGGCGUAGGCGGCGCGGUAAGUCGGGUGUGAAAUCUCGGAGCUUAACUCCGAAACUGCAUUCGAUACUGCCGUGCUUGAGGACUGGAGAGGAGACUGGAAUUUACGGUGUAGCGGUGAAAUGCGUAGAUAUCGUAAGGAAGACCAGUGGCGAAGGCGGGUCUCUGGACAGUUCCUGACGCUGAGGCACGAAGGUCAGGGGAGCAAACGGG
rnacentral:rRNA from 1 species